rfam:Anas platyrhynchos breed Pekin duck contig121319, whole genome shotgun sequence.
CCACAGGUUCUCCUCAGAACCACAUCUACCUUUAUUUGACAGUGAC